GAUGAUAGCUUGCUAUCAGGCGUCGAGCGGCGGACGGGUGAGUAAUACUUAGGAAUCUACCUAGUAGUGGGGGAUAGCACGGGGAAACUCGUAUUAAUACCGCAUACGACCUACGGGAGAAAGGGGGCAGUUUACUGCUCUCGCUAUUAGAUGAGCCUAAGUCGGAUUAGCUAGAUGGUGGGGUAAAGGCCUACCAUGGCGACGAUCUGUAGCUGGUCUGAGAGGAUGAUCAGCCACACCGGGACUGAGACACGGCCCGGACUCCUACGGGAGGCAGCAGUGGGGAAUAUUGGACAAUGGGGGAAACCCUGAUCCAGCCAUGCCGCGUGUGUGAAGAAGGCCUUUUGGUUGUAAAGCACUUUAAGCAGUGAAGAAGACUCUUCGGUUAAUACCCGGAGACGAUGACAUUAGCUGCAGAAUAAGCACCGGCUAACUCUGUGCCAGCAGCCGCGGUAAUACAGAGGGUGCAAGCGUUAAUCGGAAUUACUGGGCGUAAAGGGAGCGUAGGUGGCUCGAUAAGUCAGAUGUGAAAUCCCCGGGCUCAACCUGGGAACUGCAUCUGAUACUGUUGAGCUAGAGUAUGUGAGAGGAAGGUAGAAUUCCAGGUGUAGCGGUGAAAUGCGUAGAGAUCUGGAGGAAUACCGAUGGCGAAGGCAGCCUUCUGGCAUAAUACUGACACUGAGGCUCGAAAGCGUGGGUAGCAAACAGGAUUAGAUACCCUGGUAGUCCACGCCGUAAACGAUGUCUACUAGUCGUUGGGUCCCUUGAGGACUUAGUGACGCAGCUAACGCAAUAAGUAGACCGCCUGGGGAGUACGGCCGCAAGGUUAAAACUCAAAUGAAUUGACGGGGGCCCGCACAAGCGGUGGAGCAUGUGGUUUAAUUCGAUGCAACGCGAAGAACCUUACCUGGUCUUGACAUAUCUAGAAUCCUGCAGAGAUGCGGGAGUGCCUUCGGGAAUUAGAAUACAGGUGCUGCAUGGCUGUCGUCAGCUCGUGUCGUGAGAUG
rnacentral:rRNA from 1 species